UGGUUGAUGGCUGAUAAAAGGCAAUAAAUUGUAAAUUUAUGUAUGAAGAAAUCUCUUCUCUAAUCA
rnacentral:tRNA from 1 species